rnacentral:rRNA from 1 species
UGGGGAAUCUUAGACAAUGGGGGAAACCCUGAUCUAGCCAUGCCGCGUGAGUGACGAAGGCCCUAGGGUCGUAAAGCUCUUUCGCCAGGGAAGAUAAUGACGGUACCUGGUAAAGAAACCCCGGCUAACUCCGUGCCAGCAGCCGCGGUAAUACGGAGGGGGUUAGCGUUGUUCGGAAUUACUGGGCGUAAAGCGCGCGUAGGCGGGCUGUUAAGUCGGGGGUGAAAUCCCAGGGCUCAACCCUGGAACUGCCCUCGAUACUGGCAGCCUUGAGUCCGAGAGAGGUGAGUGGAACUCCGAGUGUAGAGGUGAAAUUCGUAGAUAUUCGGAAGAACACCAGUGGCGAAGGCGGCUCACUGGCUCGGUACUGACGCUGAGGUGCGAAAGUGUGGGGAGCAAACAGGAUUAGAUACCCCCGUAGUCC